UGAUACGGAACUCCGUGAUCCGGCCAGCCAGUGAAGUGGAACUGCUUCACCUCGCGUACUUCGUUAAAACCCCUCUGUAGGGAACGAAGCUGAAUUGCUCAUGACUGGUUCAGAGAGGUGACCAAUCAAAACACAGAGGAGGCGGGAGUUCGCUUGGAGG